GAGGUGUGAAUGUCCAGUUCAGGACCAC
rnacentral:sRNA from 1 species